GACGAACGCUGGCGGCGUGCUUAACACAUGCAAGUCGAACGAUGAAGAAGAGAAACGCGAACUUCGGUUCAAAUUUCACUUCGGAUUAGUGGCAGACGGGUGAGUGACGCGUGAGCAACCUACCUCUUACAAAGGGAUAGCCUCGGGAAACCGUGAUUAAUACCAUAUGACACAUUCAUAAGGCAUCUUAAGAAUGUUAAAGCUACGGCGGUAAGAGAUGGGCUCGCGUCCAAUUAGCUAGUUGGUGAGGUAACGGCCCACCAAGGCGACGAUGGGUAACCGGCCUGAGAGGGUGAACGGUCACAUUGGAACUGAGACACGGUCCAAACUCCUACGGGAGGCAGCAGUGGGGAAUAUUGCACAAUGGAGGGAACUCUGAUGCAGCGACGCCGCGUGAGCGAUGAAGGAAUUCGUUUCGUAAAGCUCUGUUCUAUGGGAAGAAAAGGACUGUACCAUAGGAGAAAGCCCCGGCUAAAUACGUG
rnacentral:rRNA from 1 species